UACGUAGGGGGCAAGCGUUGUCCGGAAUCAUUGGGCGUAAAGAGCGUGUAGGCGGCCCGGUAAGUCCGUUGUGAAAGUCGAGGGCUCAACCCUCGAAUGCCGGUGGAUACUGUCGGGCUAGAGUGCGGAAGAGGCGAGUGGAAUUCCUGGUGUAGCGGUGAAAUGCGCAGAUAUCAGGAGGAACACCGGUGGCGAAGGCGGGUCUCUGGGCAACAACUGACGCUGAGGAGCGAAAGCGUGGGGAGCGAACAGG
rnacentral:rRNA from 1 species